rnacentral:miRNA from 1 species
AGAUAUUUUUCUAAACUCUCUCUCUCUCUAUAUAUAUAUGUGUGUGUGUGUGUGUCUGUGUGUGUAUGUGUAUAUAUAUACGCACACACAAAUAUGUGUGUAUAUACAUAUAUA